AGGGGGGACCCCCCUGGGGCCGCGGUGCCCGCGCGCGGCUCUCGCUCCUUGCCGGCCCGGUCCAGCAGGACAGGCCCAGGACAGACCCCGCUGCGCCUGUCUCCCGCCUGGACGGGAGGCCACCAGGGACCCUCGGUCCCGAGACACGCCCGCGGCAGACAUCCCAGAGACGCGUCACGCACCUGCACCUCCGAGACGCAACACGCUCCACAGAGGGGACAUGCCCCUCAGGGGUGACAUGGCUCACAGGAGCCCUUGGCCCAUGGAUUCCAAGGACAGAACGAAUAGGAAUGGCAGCCACCUCCUUCCUCACUAUUCUUGUGAUCUGGCCCCUCAGGUCCUCUGGACCAGGAAGACUUCACAGUAGAUCUCAGGUCUUGCUGAAGAAUAAUAUCCACCCCACAUCUGAGCACAUGUCUGGUCUUUGAGCCCAGAAUGGAACUUGAGUAGUGGAAGGCCCAAUGAACACCUGGGACCUGACUUCGGGAUGACAGCAGUCUGGGGAAGAAAGCAGUCUCCUACCUCGCACACGGUCCUGAUGCAGAGA
rnacentral:lncRNA from 1 species